AUUGAACGCUGGCGGCAUGCCUUACACAUGUAAGUCGAACGAUAACAGGUCUUCGGACGCUGACGAGUGGCGAACGGGUGAGUAAUACAUCGGAACGUGCCCAGUCGUGGGGGAUAACUACUCGAAAGAGUAGCUAAUACCGCAUACGAUCUGAGGAUGAAAGCGGGGGACCUUCGGGCCUCGCGCGAUUGGAGCGGCCGAUGGCAGAUUAGGUAGUUGGUGGGAUAAAAGCUUACCAAGCCGACGAUCUGUAGCUGGUCUGAGAGGACGACCAGCCACACUGGGACUGAGACACGGCCCAGACUCCUACGGGAGGCAGCAGUGGGGAAUUUUGGACAAUGGGCGAAAGCCUGAUCCAGCAAUGCCGCGUGCAGGAUGAAGGCCUUCGGGUUGAAAACUGCUUUUGUACGGAACGAAAAAGUCUCCUCUAAUACAGGAGGCCCAUGACGGUACCGUAAGAAUAAGCACCGGCUAACUACGUGCCAGCCGCCGCCGUAA
rnacentral:rRNA from 1 species